CGCUGGCGGCACGCCUUAUACAUGCAAGUCGAACGAAGUAGCAAUACUUAGUGGCAGACGGGUGAGUAACAUGUGGGUAUCUUCCCUUUGGUGAGGAAUAACACGAGGAAACUUGUGCUAAUACCUCAUAAGUCUUUACGGAGAAAGCUUUAUGCGCCAAUGGAUGAGCCCGCACUUGAUUAGUUUGUUGGUGGGGUAAUGGCCUACCAAGACUUUGAUCAAUAGCUGAUCUGAGAGGAUGAUCAGCCACAUUGGGACUGAGACACGGCCCAAACUCCUACGGGAGGCAGCAGUAGGGAAUAUUGCACAAUGGAGGAAACUCUGAUGCAGCGAUGCCGCGUGAGUGAAGAAGGCCUUUGGGUUGUAAAGCUCUUUCGUCGGGGAAGAAAAUGACUGUACCCGAAUAAGAAGGUCCGGCUAACUUCGUGCCAGCAGCCGCGGUAAUACGAAGGGACCUAGCGUAGUUCGGAAUUACUGGGCUUAAAGAGUUCGUAGGUGGUUAAAAAAGUUGGUUGUGAAAUCCCGGAGCUUAACUCCGGAACUGCAAUCAAAACUUUUUAGCUAGAGUAUGAUAGAGGAAAGCAGAAUUUCUAGUGUAGAGGUGAAAUUCGUAGAUAUUAGAAAGAAUACCAAUUGCGAAGGCAGCUUUCUGGAUCAUUACUGACACUGAGGAACGAAAGCAUGGGUAGCGAAGAGGAUUAGAUACCCUCGUAGUCCAUGCCGUAAACGAUGUGUGUUAGACGUUGGAAAUUUAUUUUUAGUGUCGCAGCGAAAGCAAUAAACACACCGCCUGGGGAGUACGACCGC
rnacentral:rRNA from 1 species